rnacentral:rRNA from 1 species
UACAGAGGUCUCAAGCGUUGUUCGGAUUCAUUGGGCGUAAAGGGUGCGUAGGUGGCGCCGUAAGUCGGAUGUGAAAUCUCCGGGCUUAACUCGGAAAGGUCAACCGAUACUGCGGGGCUAGAGUGCAGAAGGGGCAACUGGAAUUCUCGGUGUAGCGGUGAAAUGCGUAGAUAUCGAGAGGAACACCUGCGGCGAAGGCGGGUUGCUGGGCUGACACUGACGCUGAUGUGCGAAAGCUAGGGGAGCGAACGGG